rnacentral:sRNA from 1 species
GCUGGGCGCAGUGGCGCACGCCUGUAAUCCUGUGGCUAGGGAGGCUGAGACAUGAGGAUCACGAGUUCAAAGCCAGCCUCAGCAAAAGUGAGGUGCUAAGUAACCCAAUGAGACCCUGUCUUUA